rnacentral:rRNA from 1 species
AUUGAACGCUGGCGGCAGGCCUAACACAUGCAAGUCGAACGGUAACAGGAAGAAGCUUGCUUCUUUGCUGACGAGUGGCGGACGGGUGAGUAAUGUCUGGGAAACUGCCUGAUGGAGGGGGAUAACUACUGGAAACGGUAGCUAAUACCGCAUAACGUCGCAAGACCAAAAAGGGGGACCUUCGGGCCUCUUGCCAUCGGAUGUGCCCAGAUGGGAUUAGCUAGUAGGUGGGGUAACGGCUCACCUAGGCGACGAUCCCUAGCUGGUCUGAGAGGAUGACCAGCCACACUGGAACUGAGACACGUUCCAGACUCCUACGGGAGGCAGCAGUGGGGAAUAUUGCACAAUGGGCGCAAGCCUGAUGCAGCCAUGCCGCGUGUAUGAAGAAGGCCUUCGGGUUGUAAAGUACUUUCAGCGGGGAGGAAGGGAGUAAAGUUAAUACCUUUGCUCAUUGACGUUACCCGCAGAAGAAGCACCGGCUAACUCCGUG